rnacentral:rRNA from 1 species
CGAAAGCCUGACGGAGCAAUACAGCGUGAGGGAAGACUGCCUAUGGGUUGUAAACCUCUUUUUUCAGGGAGGAAUAAAUGACGUGUACCUGAAGAAUAAGCAUCGGCUAACUCCGUGCCAGCAGCCGCGGUAAGACGGAGGAUGCAAGUGUUAUCCGGAAUCACUGGGCGUAAAGCGUCUGUAGGUGGUUUAAUAAGUCAACUGUUAAAUCUUGAGGCUCAACCUCAAAAUCGCAGUCGAAACUAUUAGACUAGAGUAUAGUAGAGGUAAAGGGAAUUUCCAGUGGAGCGGUGAAAUGCGUAGAUAUUGGAAAGAACACCGAUGGCGAAAGCACUUUACUGGGCUAUUACUAACACUCAGAGACGAAAGCUAGGGUAGCA